CGUGGCCUAGUGGUUAAGACACCAGGCUAAUAACCUUUUGGUCGUGGG
rnacentral:tRNA from 1 species